AUCAUAUGCAUAUACUAUAGUCCUGGCAUGAGUAGCAGGGCGCUGAAAUGUUGCGCGAUUUUUAACAAAAAGAAAAUUCGCAGCUUCCUUAAGAGGUUUUAAGUUAAAUGAAGACAAAUGCUGUUAGUGUACCAAUCAGUUAACAGUCUUUCGUAUCGAACGCUACGUAUCGAACCUACAGAUUCAGAUUCGAUACCCGUGCCAGCCGCCACCGGGAGACCAAUGAGGCAGCUUUUGGUUUUAGUUUAGAAUCCUCCAAUCCUCUAUAUGUAAUUAUUGGCGGAGAGUCACGCCAUAUUUUUCGAUAUACUGUAGGCCUACCAUAGGCGACAUGAGUCCCACAUGAGUAAUGUGCUGUUAAAAGUGGUGUAUGUCUUAUUUAUUUAAAGAACUUAUUGAAGUUAGAAGCAAUAGGAUUUGAAGCACAAAGUAUCAAAAUACAGAGCGGUGUUGGUAAAGGUCCAGUUGAAGUCGGAAGUUUACAUACACCUUAACCAAAUACAUUUAAACUCAGUUUUUCACAAUUCCUGACAUUUAAUCCUAGUAAAAAUUCCCUGUCUUAAAUCAGUUAGGAUCCCCACUUUAUUUUAAGAAUGUGAAAUGCCAGAAUUAACAGUAGAGAGAAUGAUUUUUUUCAGCUUUUAUUUCUUUCAUUCCAUUCCCAGUGGGUUACAAGUUUACACAUACUCAAUUAGUAUUUGGUAGCAUUGCCUUUAAAGUGUUUAACUGUGAUCAAAUGUUUCAGGAAGCCUUCCACAAGCUUCCCACAAUAAGUUGGGUGAAUUUUGGCCCAUUCCUCCUGACAGAGCUGGUGUAACAGGUUUGUAGGCCUCCUUGCUCGCACACGCUUUUUCAGUUCUGCCCACACAUUUGUCUAUGGGAUUGAGGUCAGGGCUUUGUGAUGGCCACUCCAAUACCUUGACUUUGUUGCCCUUAAGCCAUUUUGCCACAACUUUGGAAGUAUGCUUGGGAUCAUUGUCCAUUUGGAAGACCCAUUUGCGACCAAGCUUUAACUUCCUGACUGAUGUCUUGAGAUGUUGCUUCAAUAUAUACACAUUUUGGAGGUUAUUUUGUUUUCAAAAAAACUAAAGUGAGCGAUUGUAAUCUGAAUAAAAGGCCAAAGGCCAAAACAUUUAUUUCAGAGAAACGCUGGGCCAAUUGUGCGCCGCCCUAUGGGACUCCCAAUCACGGUCAGAUGUGAUACAUAGUAAUAAUAAUACUUUUUGAUGUAUUAGUCGUUUUGUCUUUUCUGAUGGAUUAAACUGAAAUUGCAACCAAUCACGGCCAACCUAACUAAGAAAUUUGACUAUAGAAUUCUCCCCCUACCCUCCUUUUAGGCAAGCCUAUUGUCCAGCUACCUGCUAAUAGCCAUAAUGGCACUAUACGACGUGACCAUGUGUGUUUGAAAGAGUAUUGUCCUGUAAGCAACUAUUUGUUUACCUUCAUUAGACAACUUUGUUCCAAUAUUUCUGUAAUUCAGUAAUAUUUAUUACCAUAGUAAUUUGUUAUGUAUCCAUAUCUAAAUAAACAUCGGUAUUUUGAAAGAGUAUUUUUAUCAUUAUUUUAUUACCAAAGGCAUAAAGAUGCAGAUGAAGAUACAGUACUGUACAUUUGGAUAAUAAAACAUUUAAAGCUUUUUGAAGAUAUAAGCCACCUGCAUGUGUUUAUUAGGCUAUAGCAGAACAGCAGAACGGUCCGGACGGCCCUUUCUGUGCCUGGUGAGCAGUUGAUCAAGUUCUGUUGUCUGAAGAGGAAUGGAAAUGUCAGGGUGAACCGACGACCUGAUGAACCCACCAGGUAUGUUGACUCUCAAUGUCAGAUAUGGAGUUCCAGAGCUCGCAGGUGUGCCUGGCAUGAAUUGUGACUCCAUCUUAUUCCACGCCCCCUUCAACGCGCCAUUCUCCGCCUGACUCUCCGCCAAUGCCGCCUGGCUCUGGACCAAUGCAUCAGCUGUCGCCCGUAUCUUUGCCCUCAGAUAAUAUUUCUCUUUCUGCUGGUCUGUCUUCAAUGACUCGAUCUCGGUCUUAAAAGUUUGAAUCUGAUCCAUGUGCACCUUCAUCAGAUGAGCAGAAUGGUACAGCCCUAAGCCCCCAUCGAUUACAGUGGCAUAUGAACAGGUACAGUAGGUGACAAUACUGAAAAAUAGGCCUAAUAAUGCUAAAAAAUAAUGCAUAAAUAAAUCUUAACCAUGUGCUGCACAUUUUUACAUUGUAUUCCGUUUCCAGCGAGACUAUUCAAGACAUCGACUCACUGAAUGAGUCGAUGGCAACCCCAACAUCUCUAUAAUCACAGUCAAAAGACAGUUGAAGAAACUUGCAUGGACUUAUGUAAACGCUCGGUAUCAUGGCCCGAGAUGUCUUUGAGGAAGAAAUCAUCAAGAGAUAUGCUGGCCCCUAUGUCAGAAAAGUGUUUCUGGGACGACAUCGUUUCUUUCAAGACAAUGACACAAAACACACUGCCGCUGUAAGGCGUGUAUAUGGGAGGCGAAGUCAAGUGCAGGAGAGCGGAGUAUAUUAAACAGGCGCACUUUAAUACCGGUCAACAACGACAGCACAUAAAACAGACUAGUGCCACAAACACUGUCUAAUACAAAAGUGCAGUGCCUGACAAAAUAAUCACGUAACAAUAAACAAUUACACACAAAGACAUGAUGGGGAACAGAGGACUAAAUACAUGUUGAUUGAUUUGGGAAUGAAAACCAGGUGUGUAUGGAACAAGACAAAACAAAUGGACAUAUGAGAAAUGGAGCAAGGAGAGGAGCCGACAUCGGCGGAAGUCGUGACAGCCACACAGAUUUGCAUUGCAAAUGAGGGCAUAAACUGGGUCAAGACGCCAGCAGAGUCUCCUGAUUUAAAUCCGUAUCUCUGCCAAGCCUACAAGCAAAUAAGAACUACUCAAGGCCAUCAAGACGUUUUUUGGCAAGAGAAAUUGACAAUAAUACAAUGCAAAAAAUAGAUUGAUCAAGGUUUCAGCAAGGUUUUACCCGUGGUCUUGGAGCUGGGUGGAAGUGCAACUAAAAUGUAGUUUAAAUAACCAUCUGCAUUUUGAAUGUCUUUUUUCUAGUUAUUUUAUUAACGAAAGCAUAAAGACGUUGAUGAAGAAAUACUGUAUUGCUGUUUUGAGUUAGAAAUGUAACACUUCAGAGUACUUAAGCAUCGAAUACAUUGCAGGUAGGGGGAUGUUCACAUCUACAGUAACCGGGCUAUAAAGAGUCUAUUGUCCUGCUAAUCGGGCUACAAGUGUUUGAAAACCUGUUUUCAAAAUGCCACCAGCAGUCCAUCACUACUGUAAAUAAAAACACAGCAUCU